AAUAGAUACCCGGGUAGUCCAUGCCGUAAACGUUGGGAACUAGGUGUGGGUCUCAUUCCACGAGAUCCGUGCCGCAGCUAACGCAUUAAGUUCCCCGCCUGGGGAGUACGGCCGCAAGGCUAAAACUCAAAGGAAUUGACGGGGGCCCGCACAAGCGGCGGAGCAUGCGGAUUAAUUCGAUGCAACGCGAAGAACCUUACCAAGGCUUGACAUGUACCGGAAACGUGCAGAGAUGUGCGCCCCGCAAGGUCGGUACACAGGUGGUGCAUGGUUGUCGUCAGCUCGUGUCGUGGGAUGUUGGGUUAAGUCCCGCAACGAGCGCAACCCUCGUUCUAUGUUGCCAGCACGUGAUGGUGGGGACUCAUAGGAGACUGCCGGGGUCAACUCGGAGGAAGGUGGGGAUGACGUCAAAUCAUCAUGCCCCUUAUGUCUUGGGCUUCACGCAUGCUACAAUGGCCAGUACAAAGGGCUGCGAUACCGCGAGGUGGAGCGAAUCCCAAAAAACUGGUCUCAGUUCGGAUUGGGGU
rnacentral:rRNA from 1 species